CCUACGGGGGGCUGCAGUGAGGAAUAUUGGUCAAUGGACGCAAGUCUGAACCAGCCAUGCCGCGUGCAGGAAGACGGCUCUAUGAGUUGUAAACUGCUUUUGUACGAGGGUAAACGCAGAUACGCGUCUCUGUCUGAAAGUAUCGUACGAAUAAGGAUCGGCUAACUCCGUGCCAGCCGCCGCGGUAAUACGGAGGAUUCAAGCGUUAUCCGGAUUUAUUGGGUUUAAAGGGUUCGGAGGCGGUCGGAUAAGUUAGAGGUGAAAUCCCGAGGCUCAACUUCGGAAGUGCCUCUGAUACUGGUCGGCUAGAGAGUAGUUGCGGUAGGCGGAAUGUAUGGUGUAGCGGUGAAAUGCUUAGAGAUCAUACAGAACACCGAUUGCGAAGGCAGCUUACCAGGCUACUUCUGACGUUGAGGCACGAAAGCGUGGGGAGCAAACAGGAUUAGAUACCCCUGUAGUC
rnacentral:rRNA from 1 species